UAAAACAUGAGAAAAAAACUUCUGGGAAUACAAAAUGAAGGCAAGAGGAAAGUUAUAUAUAAUUUGCAGAUGAUGCCAUCGGAAAACAGGAACAACAUCCAAUGAAAAACAUACCAAGCCAUGGAUUAAUGGCUAUCACAGAAUCCACAAUUCUCUGCGCGUAGCAACCGCUCAUAUUGAUUCUCCUGGCGGAAAGUGCGCAUGCUUCCCGGGGUCGCGGUGCAUUCUGGAAGCGCCUUGGGCCGGUCUUUUGUUGUGAGUCGGACUCAGUGGUAACAGGAGAAGAAACUAGGAAUUGGUGGGUAGGAUGGGAGAGGUGCUGCAGCGUAGAUUGAAUGAUACCGGGGAACUCAUGGACAGUCCGCCUGCCCCUGCCGCCCUGUUUAAAGACGUGAAGUCGCGCGCUCGACAUUGCUAAGAGCCACAGCCGCUCCGCUUUGUUUUUUUGUAGUCACAGUGCGCAUGCUCCACGUAGGGGGGCGGGGACUUUGGCGGCAAGCUGUUCUGCGCCUGCGCGUUUCCAUCUUUUACCUCUGGUACCCGGUGUUGGGUUGGGCGUCACCUGGGUGGUUCUUUGUGUUAAUGUUCAAUGAAUAGUAGCAAGGAUCGGCUCUUUGAUCCGUUUGCUAAUGAAUUACAGCUGAUCUUUUAGCUUACUAACUAUGAAGUACAGGAUUCGAUAGAUAAUAAAAAAAACAUUUACUGUACCAGUAAAAACCAGAAUGCACAGAUUUGAAGCGAGACGUAAGCAGUUUAGAGGGAAUCUAAGGAAUACUUUUUGAACCUAAAGGGUAGCUGGAAAUCUGCAAAGUACUGCCUGAGAAGAUGGUGAAGGCAGGUAUUACCAGCAUCUGGCAACCACUGUAAUUACUGAGGCAAGCUCAGCCACGCAUGGCGCUAUACACUUGACUGGUUGUAUUUCAUUAAGGAAAAACUCUCACCGCUGCAGCUUGGAAUUGAAUACAGUAAAGCACUUUGAGUAACGGAAAAUCAAAGAAAGAGGCAGAAACAGAUGCAACAAGUGUCAAAAAGGUGGAGAAGAGUAUUCCAUUACCAGCAGCAGCAUGAAUACAGAGAUGGGCUCUGUUUCUUGGAGGACACAAUUACAAGAUUGAAUUCAAGAAGGCAACUAGUCAUGGAAAUGCUGAUCGAUUGUCCAGUUACCCUUGAAAAAGGAAAUACCUGAAAAACUUACAAAAGAGGACAUUCUUCUGCAUGUGUUUUCCGUAAUGUAAAUUGAAAGUUUCCUUUUUGCGGCACAAAUGAUCCAAAGGGAAACCAGAAAAGACCCCUCACUGAGCCAGGUCUACAUAGCUGCCCAAAAUGCCUGGAAUGUGGAGCAGAGGUUCCGACUCCCCCAUUUUUACCAGGAUGAACUUGCCCUUGACGGAGGUUGCCUAAUGUGGGGAUUCAGAUUUGUUGUACCAUUUAAGCUGAGUGCUAAAGUGAUGGAGGAGUUACAUGUCGGUCAUCUCAGCAUGGUCAAAAUGAAACCAUUAGCCUGAAGUUCUGUCUAGUGGGCUGGAGUAGAUCAGUAGAUAGAGCAGCUUGCCAUGCACCGUUCUGGAUGCCAGUACUUCCCGAAGAUGCCAAGAGCACCACCUUUCCAUCUCUGGGAAUGGCAUGGAUUGCCCUGGCAGAGGAGUUAAGGAGAUUUUGCCAGACCAUUCAUGGGCACAAAUUUCUUGGAUGCAGCUACAAAGUGGCCAGAAAUGUUCCCAAUAGCCUCCAUUACAGCCUCACAACUUGUUGAUGUGGUGAGAAACCUUUCCUCAAGGAUUGGUGUUCCAGAAUACAUAGUCAGUGACAAUGGACCAUAGUUUGUUGCGGAACAUGUUUGGAAUGAGAGAUAUUACAUCUAUACUGUACCAUCCAGCUACAAAAGACUUGGUGGAAAGGUCAAAGAAACACACUGUGAGCAAUGUCAGCAGAACACUACACUGAAUCAGAAGCUCGCACAUUUCCUCUUUAUGUAUUGCUAUGCAAUACACUCCACAACCAACAACUCACACACUCUGCUAUUUCUGGAUUGCUCAAGCUUGGACCUUCUCAAACCCUGUCUCAGAAGGAGUAUGCAAGACAAGCAGCUGAGACAAUUUGAGGGCUCCUCAAACAAGGAGGUUUGAUUUUUCACUCUUGGACAAGCGGUCCUGGUGAAGUACUACAGAGGUGUUCAAAAGUGGGUACUUGGAAACAUUAAGGACAGACUGGACCACUCUCCUACACGGUGGAGAUUGCUUCUGAAGUCAUCUGGAGAUGACAUGUUAAUCAGUUGAGGAGAGCAAAGAGAAAAAAGGUGUCCAGAGCUGUCAGAACCUCUUCCUGCAGUCUCAGUGUCAACUCCUACAGCCACCAGAGAGAAAGCCCCAGAGCCUGAAAUGGGUUCACAGCCACAAGUCUUACCCGCCAAGCAGAGUGACCCCCGUCUCGAAAGGUAUCCCACAAGAGUAAGAAAUCCUGUACAGUGUUUAAAUCUUUAGGCCUGAUUGGGACAGUUUAAAAUUUACUAUGCUGCUGAUGUCUAUAUUGUAGUUAUAUAGUAUACUAUAUAAGUGUUUGUAGUUGAGAUGCAUCUUAUUUUGAGUUGAUAGCUAAA